AGGCAUUGUCUUGUUGGGCAUUGUGCAAAUAGAACACUGGACUCCCCAGUUCUCUACGAGUGACCUACUCUGAAGCUUUUUGGACAUGGUGAGGCAACAGGAAGGAAGCAAACAUUUUUUUUAAAAAAGGUUAUUAGGACAACGCUGAUGCACUAUACCAUUUGG